rnacentral:tRNA from 1 species
UCCCUAGUGGCUCAGAUGGUAAAGCGUCUGCCUACAAUGCAGGAGACCUGGGUUCAAUCCCUGGGUCAGGAA